AGAGCGCAGAGAGAAGACUCGGGGAGCUGGGAGAGGGCACGAACGUGAGCGUUUCCCAGAUGAUGAAGAUUACCGGUGGCGCUGUGACCUGCUCAUUCUCAUCUGGAGAAAUGGCAGCUGCAAAGCAACCUGUUCUUGCCUCCUGUGGCUUCCCUGAAGAGACAUCUCACAAUCUCUUUAAGGAAACCUGGCAGCUCUAAAGAGAGGCACCUUUGGAAAGGAAAAGACCUCAUAAGCAAGAUGGAGUUCUCCCCUGAAGCUGGAGCCAUGAAUUCAAGAGUUUAUCAAAAGCUGCUGUGAUGGCUAAUCCUGAUUUCAACUUGAUACCUGGGAAGAGGGAACCUCAGUUGAAGAAUUGACUCCAUGGAUUGAUUGGCCUGUGGGCAUAUCUGUGGAGAAUUUGUUUGAUUGCUAAUUGAUGUGGUGAGCUCAGCCCAUUUGCCUGUGCUGUGAUCCCAGGCCACGGGCCCCAACCACAUCAGAAAGGUAGCUGACUUGUGAGCCUGGGAGGAAGCCAGCCAACAUCUUUUCUCUAUGGUUUCUGCUUUGAGUUGCUUGCCCUGUCUCUUUCAAUAAAGCGUUAUGACCUGGAAGUGAAAUAAACCCUUUCUCCUUCA